rnacentral:rRNA from 1 species
CCCUUAGAUGUUCUGGGCCGCACGCGCGCUACACUGACGAAGUCAGCGAGCAUGUCCUACGCCGACAGGUGCGGGGAAUCUUGUCAAACUUCGUCGUGAUGGGGAUUGAUUAUUGAAAUUCUUGAUCAUCAACGAGGAAUUCCUAGUAAGCGCAAGUCAGAAGCUUGCGUUGAUUACGUCCCUGCCCUUUGUACACACCGCCCGUCGCUACUACCGAUUGAAUGGUUUAGUGAGAUCUUCGGAUUGGCGCCACUGCGGCUCAGCAAUGGGCUCGGUGGAUGCCGAAAAGUUGAUCAAACUUGAUCAUUUAGAGGAAGUAAAAGUCGUAACA